rnacentral:rRNA from 1 species
CGUGUAGGCUGCUCGGAAAGUCGGAUGUGAAAGCCCUGGGCUCAACCUAGGAAGUGCAUUCGAAACUUCUGAGCUUGAGUAUCGGAGAGGAAGGCGGAAUUCUCGGUGUAGAGGUGAAAUUCGUAGAUAUCGAGAGGAACACCGGUGGCGAAGGCGGCCUUCUGGACGAUUACUGACGCUGAGACGCGAAAGCGUGGGAGCAAACA